rnacentral:rRNA from 1 species
GUAGCGGUGAAAUGCGUAGAGAUCUGGAGGAAUACCGGUGGCGAAGGCGGCCCCCUGGACAAAGACUGACGCUCAGGUGCGAAAGCGUGGGGAGCAAACAGGAUUAGAUACCCUGGUAGUCCACGCCGUAAACGAUGUCGAUUUGGAGGUUGUGCCCUUGAGGCGUGGCUUCCGGAGCUAACGCGUUAAAUCGACCGCCUGGGGAGUACGGCCGCAAGGUUAAAACUCAAAUGAAUUGACGGGGGCCCGCACAAGCGGUGGAGCAUGUGGUUUAAUUCGAUGCAACGCGAAGAACCUUACCUGGUCUUGACAUCCACAGAACUUUCCAGAGAUGGAUUGGUGCC